rnacentral:tRNA from 1 species
GGUAAAAUGGCUGAGUUUAGGCGGUAAAUUGUAAAUUUAUUAACAAGAAGAUAGUUCUUUUUUAUC